UCAGAAUCCUUGAAGGAGAACUAGGAUUACAGUUACUGUUCUUUAAGCUUAAAAUGAGCUUCAAUCAAGAGGAAGAAGGAAAAUUGCUUAAGUCAGACCCGACAGCUAAAGCUGCACAUCUGGCAGUGGUGAGUGGCCCUCAGUCUCCACUGAGGGACACUGAGUGUCUCCAGCAUCUCAAUAGGAAGCUUCCUGCAGACCAACUAUAAUCUAUUGGCACCCAAGUGGGGAGUUUCUAUGGGCCAGCUUCAACCCAUGACACCCUAGUAAAAGUCACCAACAUCCGAACAUGUGACCUCCUGCAGACCAGCUCUGGCCCACAGGACCCAGUGAAGUUCUCUGCUCUUCAGCAGGCAUGCUAUACACAUUCUCUACUGAAAUCAGUGUCCUCAAAUGCCUGCGGCGUUCUAAACACACGGUGGGUCCUCAUGGGAUGGAAGAAAGUGCAUUAGAUUUGAAAUGGGAAUAUCUGGCUCAGGCCCUGGUGGUCUGAUGCCUCUAUGUGUAUUUCACACCAUGUGAGAGCAACAAGGAGGCAUAGCCACUGACCAGAGAAGAUGAAGCACUCUGGAGAGAUCAAAGACCAUCGGGCCUGAGUGGCUGUACAAUUUCGCACUGGGGGUUCUAUUCAGCAGUCUAAAUUGCAGCUGGUCUGUCUGUCCAAAGCACAACAUGGCACACAAUUAUGUAGCAUCACUCAGCUUAGCAAAAAGCAGUUUGCAUCAAAGGAACAACAGAAUAGGAAGAGACCUAAUAUUUCUUGAAGCCUACUGUGUGCUAACUACUUGAUGUGUGGUUUUCAUAUACUCUUUGCACCAAACCUAUGAGGCAAUUUGCUCUUCAAAAAACUCCGAGUCUGUGUGGUGUUGCCUACAUUUUUCUUGGAUUUUAUUUCCCUUUCAAUGGCCUACUCUCAGUGUUGGUGUCUGAGCUUCCUCUGUGUGGAACAGAAGAUUUUUAAACCUGUAUAUUUAUAGCAAACAAUGAAUCUCUAAAUAGUUCUUCAGAUCUUGAAGUGUUCCCACUUAUUAAUUAAUUUGAGAAGGUUUUGCCAGAUCUGAGGGAGAUUUUCAUAUUUUUUCUUCUCAUAUGGCAAAGAAGUUCUCAGGCCUAUGAAUUUAUAGAAAGAAAGUGAAAUCUGGCAAGAUCAUCAGAGACUGUUUAAUUGGGAUUUUUGUGCUUCAGAAAACAAGAAAAUCAAGCUCAGAGAUGAAAUCAGGUCUUCCAAACCUCCUGAAAGGAGUCUCCCUGUUCUAUAUUCAGGAAGGCAUUGGUCACAUUGAGGUCCUUUUGGGAUUCUCUAGUUUUCAUGUUUCAGUGGUAGACAAGGGAGUGUUUGAAGCAUCAAGAGCAUUUUCAGUGUCACUAUUCUCUGUCUUAACUCUCCUGAAGCACCAACCAUGAUCAAGCUUGCAGUCUGAGUGUAAGAUGUAGAAGGAGACAGAAAUGAAAUGCAGUUACCCAAGAAAUAUUUAAAUACAAUUGUAUUAAAUACUGUGAUGGAGAGAUACAGACUACUGCGAGUGUGUAUAUAAAAACGGGGGGUCCUGAUCUGGUCAGGUGGAAUGGGGAAAGCUUCCAGGAGGAAGACAAAUUUAAGCUGAGACCUGAAGGGCGAUUAGAAAUUGUGCAACUGAGGGAGACAAUUCUAUUAAUAGCGCUAUAUCCCCUAGUGACUGGAAUGUAGGGUUUGAGACCUUGGGCUCAAAGACUGACUGCCUGAACAAAAUUCUCUCCUUUACCACACUUUUAGCUCUGUUUUCUGUGGGCAAGACACUGAAGUUUUCUGUUUCUCCAGCCCUUUGUAUGAAAUUAGGGAAUAAUACUAUUAAGGUAUUGUGCUCUUAAACCAUUAUCACACAAUUUUGAUAAUCCCAUGUGAAACUUAAAUGCAAUAAUGCAUGUAAAGCAUUUUAACAGUGCCAAACACUCAGUAAACAAUCAACAAAUAUUGGCUAUUAUUAUUGCAGGAUUCUGCAGCUUACAAAACAUUUUCAUAGGCAUCAUACAUUAUCUCAUCACCAAUGCUUUCCUAUAGUACUAGUUCUCGGGACACUUCCUCUGCUGAUGGUACUAUGAUUCUAUUUGGAGAAAAUAAGCAAAUGCUGUGAACCCCUUUUUAGCUUUAUUAGGGGCUAGGAGUAUUCUGUGGGAGAAUCGAGACAGAGCUUGGGUCUCGGAGUCCCCAAGUAUAUUCAAGAAUCCUCCUAUGUAGACUGGAAGUUUACCAAUACUUAAAAUUCUAGCAGUGUCUUAGAUGAAUAGAGGCACACAUUUAAAGGACUAGGUUACAUUAAGGAUUUUGAAAACAUGACAUUUAUGGUUUAACUGCUCCUCAGGAAUCAUGUCCUCAAACUGUUCAAUAAUGAUGUAAGAUGGGUGAACAAACAAUUUAAGCUUCACUCUAAAAUAAUCUCGGCGGGAGCACAAUAUUGUAAACAGUCAUUGCUGCAUCUCCAUUCUGUGAAGUUCCCUUUCAUUGUUGUCCAUUUAUUCCUUUAAACUAAAAGUCUUUGACCAAGUUACUUAGCAUCUUCUAACAAUUCUUAAAAGUUCUUCUAAAGAAAUUCAGCGUAAGGCGGUGUGAGCUAUUACACUGACUAUAAAGAAUGUCAUUUCUAUUGAAAAGAGCAAACUUUCCACUAAACACAUUUGACCUUCUUCUAUCUGGUAUUGUGGCUCAUCUGAGAAUAGGGAUGGUGGCUGUAUUAGUUCAUUCUCAUGCUGCUAAUAAAGACGUACCCGAGAUUGGGUAAUUUAUAAAGGAAAAGGGUUUAAUUGACUCACACAGUUCAGCA
rnacentral:lncRNA from 10 species